AGAUACAAUCAUUCCAGCACUACGGGACCGAAUCCCAUCAGAACUCUAUAAUGACGAGAGUAGUACUAGGAGGUGACCUCCCGGGAAGUCCUCGUGUUGCAUUUA
rfam:Arabidopsis thaliana chromosome 5, complete sequence.